AAGAGCACAAGAGAAAGCGGUCCAAGAAUGGGCAGCUCGAACCACCUCUGAAUGCUUAACAAAAUCAAUCUUUGCGGUCCGAGGAUGACAACUUUGGAUGGCUUUGAAGAGCACCACAAAAGGCAGUCAAAUAAUGCUAACAUCGGAAUGAUUGGGCUAUGCCCCAAACAUUAGGACGCAACCCUACUAUCAAAAAGACUAAAAAAUAUAUUUAUAAAAUGCAGUACCAGGAUGUUAUCCUCGAACUUACGGCAUAUUUUGAAAAAAUAAAAAAGCCUCAGGUUGACCAAACUUUCGUCUAAUUUUAACACAAAAUUGACUCAUUCAAUAUUUUAGUUUUUUUUGUGCCCAUACGUAAUUCACUCUUUUACUGCUAAGGAAUGAUCCAUAUUUUAAAGUAUUUUAUGCCGAGAUCCAACGAAGUGCCUUUUUUUUAUUUUUUUCAAUUUUUUCUUCCAAUUCGAUGUUUGUUAUUUUUUUUCUGAGUGUUCUGGAGGGUUGUACACUGGGUUGAAGUAUUUUAGCGGUCAGUCUGACAUACCUAACAUCAAUUUGCCUUGAACUUGAAUUUGGCAUUUAAUAUUUUUAACAUUAGACCUCUCUAGACUUCAAGAUUUUUUUAAGUUUUUAGCUAUCUGACUUUUUGUAACAUCGGAUUGAUAGGCCUACUUAGAACGUUCAAAUGUCGCGCAAUCCUAUAUUUUAAAUGUCGGACUCCUUAAAAUAUGUUAGUCCAAUGUUUGGAAUAUCAUACUGCUCAAAACGUUCGUAGGCCUGACGGUAUAUUGUUCCAUAUAUCAAACUGGUCAUUAUAGGGCUGUCCGAUAUUCAAAACAUCAUACUAAUUUCUACAAACCAAAAUAAAAUAAAAUAAAAAAUCGAUAUGAUAUUGCAAAUAUCAAAC
rnacentral:lncRNA from 1 species